rnacentral:rRNA from 1 species
UCGAGCGGAUGAAGAGAGCUUGCUCUCUGAUUCAGCGGCGGACGGGUGAGUAAUGCCUAGGAAUCUGCCUGAUAGUGGGGGACAACGUUUCGAAAGGAACGCUAAUACCGCAUACGUCCUACGGGAGAAAGCAGGGGACCUUCGGGCCUUGCGCUAUCAGAUGAGCCUAGGUCGGAUUAGCUAGUUGGUGAGGUAACGGCUCACCAAGGCGACGAUCCGUAACUGGUCUGAGAGGAUGAUCAGUCACACUGGAACUGAGACACGGUCCAGACUCCUACGGGAGGCAGCAGUGGGGAAUAUUGGACAAUGGGCGAAAGCCUGAUCCAGCCAUGCCGCGUGUGUGAAGAAGGUCUUCGGAUUGUAAAGCACUUUAAGUUGGGAGGAAGGGCAUUAACCUAAUACGUUAGUGUUUUGACGUUACCGACAGAAUAAGCACCGGCUAACUUCGUGCCAGCAGCCGCGGUAAUACGAAGGGUGCAAGCGUUAAUCGGAAUUACUGGGCGUAAAGCGCGCGUAGGUGGUUUGUUAAGUUGAAUGUGAAAGCCCCGGGCUCAACCUGGGAACUGCAUCCAAAACUGGCAAGCUAGAGUAUGGCAGAGGGUGGUGGAAUUUCCUGUGUAGCGGUGAAAUGCGUAGAUAUAGGAAGGAACACCAGUGGCGAAGGCGACCACCUGGGCUAAUACUGACACUGAGGUGCGA